AACGAACGCUGGCGGCGUGGAUAAGACAUGCAAGUCGAACGGGACAGGUAGCAAUAUCUGUCUAGUGGCGAACGGGUGCGUAACACGUGGGCAACAUGCCUGGAAGAGCGGGAUAGCCCGGGGAAACUCGGAUUAAUACCGCAUGUGACAACGGGGCGGCUUCGCCCUGUUUUCAAAGGUGGGGACCGCAAGGCCUGCCGCUUCCAGAUUGGCCCGCGUCCUAUCCGCUAGUUGGCGGGGUAAAAGCCCACCAAGGCGACGACGGGUAGCUGGUCUGAGAGGACGACCAGCCACACUGGAACUGAGACACGGUCCAGACACCUACGGGUGGCAGCAGUCGAGAAUCUUUCGCAAUGGGGGAAACCCUGAUGGAGCGACGCCGCGUGGAGGAUGAAGGUCUUCGGAUUGUAAACUCCUGUCAUGAAAGAACAAGCGAUGCGGGUGAACAGCCCGCAAAGUUGAUAGUAUUUCAAGAGGAAGGGACGGCUAACUUCGUGCCAGCCGCCGCCGUAAAAC
rnacentral:rRNA from 1 species